GGUAGUACGGCCCCGGGUUGUAAACCUCUUUCAGCAGGGACGAAGCGCAAGUGACGGUACCUGCAGAAGAAGCACCGGCCAACUACGUGCCAGCAGCCGCGGUAAGACGUAGGGUGCGAGCGUUGUCCGGAUUUAUUGGGCGUAAAGAGCUCGUAGGCGGCUUGUCGCGUCGACCGUGAAAACUUGGGGCUCAACCCCAAGCCUGCGGUCGAUACGGGCAGGCUAGAGUUCGGUAGGGGAGACUGGAAUUCCUGGUGUAGCGGUGAAAUGCGCAGAUAUCAGGAGGAACACCGGUGGCGAAGGCGGGUCUCUGGGCCGAUACUGACGCUGAGGAGCGAAAGCGUGGGGAGCGAACAGGAUUAGAUACCCUGGUAGUCCACGCUGUAAACGUUGGGCGCUAGGUGUGGGGGGCCUCUCCGGUUCCCUGUGCCGCAGCUAACGCAUUAAGCGCCCCGCCUGGGGAGUACGGCCGCAAGGCUAAAACUCAUAGGAAUUGACGGGGGCCCGCACAAGCGGCGGAGCAUGCGGAUUAAUUCGAUGCAACGCGAAGAACCUUACCUGGGUUUGACAUGGCCGCAAAACUUCCAGAGAUGGGAGGUCCUUCGGGG
rnacentral:rRNA from 1 species